rnacentral:snRNA from 1 species
GCUCACUUCAGCAGCACAUACUAAAAUUGGAACAAUACAGAGAAGAUUAGCACGGCCCCUGUGCAAGGAUGACACACAAAUUCGUGAAGCGUUCCAUAUUUUU